CAGCAGCCGCCGCGGUAAUACGUAGGGUGCGAGCGUUAAUCGGAAUUACUGGGCGUAAAGCGUGCGCAGGCGGUUAUGUAAGACAGUUGUGAAAUCCCCGGGCUCAACCUGGGAACUGCAUCUGUGACUGCAUAGCUAGAGUACGGUAGAGGGGGAUGGAAUUCCGCGUGUAGCAGUGAAAUGCGUAGAUAUGCGGAGGAACACCGAUGGCGAAGGCAAUCCCCUGGACCUGUACUGACGCUCAUGCACGAAAGCGUGGGGAGCAAACAGGAUUAGAUACCCGUGUAGUCCCUGUCUCUUAUAC
rnacentral:rRNA from 1 species